CCUACGGGUGGCAGCAGUGGGGAAUAUUGGGCAAUGGGCGCAACUCUGACCCAGCAACGCCGCGUGAAGGAAGAAGGCUUUCGGGUUGUAAACUUCUUUUCUCAGGGACGAAGCAAGUGACGGUACCUUAGGAAUAAGCCACGGCUAACUACGUGCCAGCAGCCGCGGUAAUACGUAGGUGGCAAGCGUUAUCCGGAUUUACUGGGGGUAAAGGGCGUGUAGGCGGGACUGCAAGUCAGUUGUGAAACCCAAGGGCUCAACCUGUGGACUACUUUUGAAACUGUAGUUCUUGAGUACAGGAGAGGCAGACGGAAUUCCUAGUGUAGCGGUGGAAUGCGUAGAUAUUAGGAGGAACACCAGUGGCGAAGGCGGUUUGCUGGACAGCAACUGACGCUGAGGCGCGAAAGCGUGGGGAGCAAACAGGAUUAGAUACCCUUGUAGUC
rnacentral:rRNA from 1 species